GGCGGGGUAGCUCAGUUGGUGAGAGCGCACGACUCAUAAUCGUGAGGUCGCGGGUUCGAACCCCGCUCCCGCUACC
rnacentral:tRNA from 1 species